UAUCACACAACACGGGUCAAUACCCUCAUACUGUUCAGACCAGUUAUCACACAACACGGGUCAAUACCCUCAUACUGUUCAGACCAGUUAUCACACAACACGGGUCAAUACCCUCAUACUGUUCAGACCAGUUAUCACACAACACGGGUCAAUACCCUCAUACUGUUCAGACCAGUUAUCACACAACACGGGUCAAUACCCUCAUACUGUUCAGACCAGCUGUCACACAACACAACACGGGUCAAUAGCCUCAUACUGUUCAGACCAGCUAUCACACAACACGGGUCAAUACCCUCAUACUGUUCAGACCAGCUAUCACACCACACGGGUCAAUACCCUCAUACUGUUCAG